GCCGGCCGCGCGCCCGGGCAGCCCCCGCGCCCUCCCCGCGGCGCCUCGGGGCGCGCCCCGCGCCCAGCCGGGGCCGCCGCAGCCCCUGUGUCCGGCCGCCCGCGCCCCCCCCGGUUCACCUCGCCGGGCUGGGGGCGGCGCAGCCCCGCGGGGGUGUCCCCAGGGCCGCGGGCAGGCCCUCCAUCGCUGCACAGGAAAUACUUGACCUAGUGUGUCACAGCAUCGCGCUGGUCUUUUCCGCGGCCGCGCUGACCUGGGAGCUGGGAAGGGCUUUCAGCGUCCCCGCCGCCUCCCGGUAGCCCCUACGGACGUGCGUGUGGCUCAGCAAGAUCUCAGUUCUCCAGGCCCUUUCGGACGUAACUGUCACCGUCUGCUAGUACGUUUCAGUCCCCCCUUCUAAUACUCUGAUACACUCAAAUCCUGUCUUCCUGCUCUGCGUUAAUGAUGCCACUCUUGCAUCAGCACCAAAUCUCUGCACGCAAGAUACUUAGCAAACACAACGAGCAAAAGUACCAAAUAAAACUGGUCACAAGGCAAAACUGCAUCUGAAACCUCCCUCCAGUCCAAAAGCUCCCUGUGAAGAGACAACCCGUAAUCUUCCUUCUUGAAUUUGGAUUCAAUUUCUGUGUACAAAUCUUAAAAUGAUACCCACUACCAUAGGAAGUUGCUGAAGUUUAAAUUAUAUACCAGACCAAAAACACUUGGAAAAGGCAAACUGUCAACAGAAAUUCAAAGGCUUCCAAUGCUCAGCUCGGAGAGAAACAGAUGGAGAAGCAGAUUAGUGCCUUGUCAUUUAUAGCGCUGUUUGUUACAUACGUUCUCAUUUCCUUCAUCUUACACUCCUGAGGCCUGGCCUAAAACCUGCUGAAACUGAAGGGAGUCUUUCCACUUUACUUCACCCUGUUUUGCAUCAGAUCUUUACACAGUGCAGCUGAUACGGAGCGUAACCAGGUCUGCACUCUGAUUGGAGCCAGUUCAUUAGAUAAAUAAUUAGCAUGCAGCUUCUUGUCAAAAUCUGGAAGUACUUUAAACUGAAACUGUAGCAGUUAAUGGUUGAUUCUGCUUUUUACUGGUUUUGAAUGCCAAAAACCACCCUGGGACUUCUUAAUGAAGGCUAUUCCAUGAAUAGAGGAUGUUCUUGCCAAAGCUCUGCACCAGAUAACUGAGCAAUCUUCGUUUCCUUUUUCCUCUGAAGUGGGACUCCCACACGCCACCACUGUAAACAUAGAGCUUGCCUCCAUAAACAUGAUUUUUGAUGUUUAGCACAACACAUACUCUAAAAGUGCAGCAGUACUUAAAGUGCAGCAAGCUUCUCACAUUCUGAGUAACAGCCCUAAAAAUAGCUGUUUAUGGACAAUACCAGAUGGAUAUUAGGAAUUAGCACAGUCACUGGGCAACGAUUAUACUUCUUUGUAAAGAAGCUCAGCUUUCUACCAUCCAAUAGGGUUGGUGCCAUUUAAUUUGCUGCCCUAAGCCAUAAUAUCCGCCUUUUCAUAAAUCAGAAGAUGGAUUAGUUAAAAUCAAUUUAUUACAGAACACAAGAAAAUAUCAGCCAAAAUAAACCAAACUUCUGUAAGUAUUUCUCCAAUGUUACUUUCUGCAAAUAUUCCUGAAGCAUCCAAAACCUGUUCUGUUUGUAAAGAUCUCUGUGUAAAACACAUCCAAAAGCAGCUCUGCAUUCAGCAUCUAUGUAUAGAGCAGCACACACAUCUGUCCAUAUGCACAGCUGACUUUGUGUGACUGUGUAGCAGCACCAUGACAUCAUCAGCCUUGUCUGCAGUAACUGACAGGGCGAGCAUUCUGUUUUGUUAUUUUUAUGACUACCAUAAUUAGUGACUUCCUGUGGAUUUCAUCAAUGUUUCUUUUUUUUCUGAGUCCACAUCAUUCCCUCAGAUGGUUAGCUUGUUUUCACAGCUCAGCUUUCCCUGCUGAAGCCAGCUGCCCUUUAGAAAUCACUCUCUCUCGCAUCUACAAGAUAGCAGGAAACAAGGGUCAUUGUCUCAUUUCUUCCCCUUCCCCCAAAAGAGUUAGGAGUUCAGGUUUGGUUUGGAUAAAAUCCUGAAAUAUGGAUAUGUCUCUGAAUUACCUCAUCGUCUUGGUUUGAGCCCUUAGUUGAACUUUGUCCCAAAAUCCAACUCCAACUAACCAGUGAAAAGUUUAGUAUAGACUUAAAAAAGCAUGGAAUCAAAAUUUACCUUGGUAUAAACAUAUAUUUUGAAAACAAAAUACAUACUUAUAUUAUAAAUUAUAUGUAAUUGGCUUUUUGGAAUUCACCCCCACCAGUUUAAGGAAUGAUCUCACAGAUCCUUGCAUCUGCCAGAUGAGUAGCUUCAUUCAUAUCAUAUAUAUAUAAUUCUACCGUACCAACUGUGAAAUAAAGUUAUUUGCCUAAAUAAAUGUUUACAUUUAACCCGCACAUUUCACUUACUAAAACUUCAUCUGUGAAAACAUCAGCCCAUAGAAACAGAAUCUCUUAAACCCGAGUGACCAAGUGCAGUGCUUCCACAGGCUGAUAAAGUCUGUUCCAAGCCCUAUAGAGAUCAGUGGUGGAGGAGUUAACCAGGAUGAACAGCAGCUCAAACCCACAGGUUGCAGGUGAGCACUGGGCACCUGCAGGCCCCUGUGCUUCUCUGUGAACAUCAGCCCCACCACCCUUUCCCUCUGGGCUGUAAGAGCUGCCUAUGGAUUUCUGAGCCUGCAGUAGCUCAGGCUGCCAAACACUGGAAAUCUCAGCCUGUAUAUUCUAACUGCUGGAUUACCACUGUUGGCAAAUCAGCCAUAGCUCAGGCACAAAAUCACAGGAUUGUAGAAUGGCUUGGGUUGGAAAGGACCUUAAAGACCGACUAGUUCCAACCUCUCUGCCAUGGGCAGGGACACCCCCACUAGACCAGGCUGCUCAGAGCUCCAUCCAACCUGGCCUCAAAAUUACCUUGUAUUAGUUGGAUUCAAGACAAACAAACAACCAAACCACCUAAACAAACCACACUCACUCUGCUCUCCCUGCCAUGGGUCUGCCAGCUGAAAAAGCUGAGCAUCACAACCGCAUUUGCAAUGGUGGAAGGUGCAAGAGUUCCCCUUCUGGAGAAAACUGGUGAGCAUUAAAUCCGCGGCAUUUGGCAGCACGUUUCUCGAGAGUUAAUAGCCAAGGUAAUGACGGAGCACAUGGCCUCAGCUUCCGAGAGGUGGUUUGGCCUCUGAUAUGUUGGAGAGUCAGCAGAAGGAAAAGCUUUUGACAGCACUGCCUCUACCGUCUGUCUGUCGGGACUUCAGUAGAUGGCACUGUCACACCAACUGGGGCACAGGAAGAGACAGUGUACACAUUAUUCCUUCACAGAUUGUGUAUGCUUUUCUUCAAAUAAACUCUCUUCUUUUUUUUCCCCCUCUA